UACGAAGGGGGCCAGCGUUGCUCGGAAUCACUGGGCGUAAAGGGUGCGUAGGUGGCGCCGUAAGUCGGGUGUGAAAUUUCGGAGCUUAACUCCGAAACUGCAUUCGAUACUGCGGUGCUUGAGGACUGGAGAGGAGACUGGAAUUCAUGGUGUAGCAGUGAAAUGCGUAGAGAUCAUGAGGAAGACCAGUGGCGAAGGCGGGUCUCUGGACAGUUCCUGACACUGAGGCACGAAGGCCAGGGGAGCAAACGGG
rnacentral:rRNA from 1 species